rnacentral:rRNA from 1 species
UGAAACGCCGGGCUUCGCCCCUGGUUAUCAUAACCCUUUGUUGUCCGACUCUGUNUGCCAUCCGGGGCGACCCUGCCUUCGGCGCGGAGGGCUCCGUGGUGGACACUUUCAACACUCUUGCGUAACUUGUAGCAGAUACUAGAGUUAAACUGUAAAGUAUUAAUUAAAAGUUAAAGACACGUCUGUGUACACGACAGCUGGGAUCCUCUUGCGUAUCCUCGGACAUCGAUAGAAGUAACGCAGCAGACAAUGCGAUAAGUUAAUGUGCACAUUGCAGNAAUUCGAGUGACAUCAUCGCAGAUCUUUGAACGCACAUUGCCGCCCCCUGGCUAUUCCGGCGGGGCAUGCCUGCUUCGAGCGUCAUUUCACCUACUCAAGUCCUCGCUUGCGUAUUGGGCAAUCGCGGUCCGCCGCGUGCCUCAAAUCGUCCGGCUGGGUCUUCUGUCCCCUAAGCGUAGUGGAAACUAUUCGCUAAAGGGUGUUCGGGAGGCUACGCCGUAAAACAACCCCAUUUCUAAGCGUUGACCUCGGAUCAGGUAGGGAUACCCGCUGAACUUAAGCAUAUCAAUAAGCGGAGGAACGC